UACGUAGGUGGCAAGCGUUGUCCGGAUUUAUUGGGUUUAAAGGGUGCGUAGGCGGCUUAUUAAGUCAGUGGUGAAAUACUCUAGCUCAACUAGAGGGGUGCCAUUGAUACUGAUGAGCUUGAGUACAGAUGGGGUAGGCGGAAUUGACGGUGUAGCGGUGAAAUGCUUAGAUAUCGUCAAGAACACCUAUAGCGAAGGCAGCUUACUAGGCUGUAACUGACGCUGAGGCACGAAAGUGUGGGGAUCAAACAGG
rnacentral:rRNA from 1 species